GUUUCCUGGUCACCUGAAAUGAUAGGCCAUAUUCUUGGUCUUUGUCCUCUGUUGGUUGCCUUAGAAACUGUGGAAUCUAGCAGUCAUAUUGGCUAAUGGCAGCUCAUGUCCUGCUACUGAUAGAUUGAUAGAGGUGGACAAUUUAAUGAAAGGCGAACUACUGUGAAAUCAGUGAAAAUGCCAUUUCAGGGCUCAUUAAGUGGAAAGAGGAAAGGCUUCAGCAGAAGGUCUACAAUUCAUAGCAAGGAGACUGCAGGAGCUAUAAGAAAAAUCUAACAACUGAAGUACGGUUUCUUUCCACUAUCUUACCUGGUAAUCAUGGUCUACUGGUUCAACCACAGGACGUCCAAUGCGCUUGAGCAUGACGGUGUAGCAGAAGCAAAUAGUGAGAAGAGGCAAUAGAUAAACACCCAGGAAAGUGUAGAGGAUAAAACUGCGCUCCUGGCUCUUGCUUGUGAAAGCUUCAAUGCAGUAGAUUUUGAAACGCGGUACUUCAGCUCACAUUUUGGAGUCAUCAGUGCCUUAAUAUUCCAGAAGAAAGGGACAUCUCAUUAAAGUAUUCUUGCUGAA